rnacentral:rRNA from 1 species
AGAGUUUGAUCCUGGCUCAGAUUGAACGCUAGCGGCAUGCUUAACACAUGCAAGUCGAACGGUAACAGCAGAGCUUGCUCUGGCUGACGAGUGGCGGACGGGUGAGUAAUGCUUAGGAAUCUGCCCAGUAGCGGGGGACAACAUGUGGAAACGCAUGCUAAUACCGCAUACGCCCUACGGGGGAAAGCAGGGGAUCUUCGGACCUUGCACUAUUGGAUGAGCCUAAGUCAGAUUAGCUUGUUGGUGGGGUAAAAGCCUACCAAGGCGACGAUCUGUAGCUGGUCUGAGAGGACGAUCAGCCACACUGGAACUGAGACACGGUCCAGACUCCUACGGGAGGCAGCAGUGGGGAAUAUUGGACAAUGGGCGCAAGCCUGAUCCAGCAAUACCGCGUGUGUGAAGAAGGCCUUAGGGUUGUAAAGCACUUUCAGCAGUGAGGAAAAACUUAAGAUUAAUAACCUUAGGUCUUGACGUUAACUGCAGAAGAAGCACCGGCUAACUCCGUGCCAGCAGCCGCGGUAAUACGGGGGGUGCAAGCGUUAAUCGGAAUUACUGGGCGUAAAGCGCGCGUAGGCGGUUAGUUAAGUCAGAUGUGAAAGCCCCGGGCUCAACCUGGGAACUGCAUUUGAAACUGUUUAACUAGAGUGUGGUAGAGGAGAGUGGAAUUUCAGGUGUAGCGGUGAAAUGCGUAGAUAUCUGAAGGAACACCAGUGGCGAAGGCGGCUCUCUGGACCAACACUGACGCUGAGGUGCGAAAGCGUGGGUAGCAAACGGGAUUAGAUACCCCGGUAGUCCACGCCGUUUGGGCGGGUUUCCGCUUAGUGGUGCAGCUAACGCAAUAAGUUGACCGCCUGGGGAGUACGGCCGCAAGGCUAAAACUCAAAUGAAUUGACGGGGGCCCGCACAAGCGGUGGAGCAUGUGGUUUAAUUCGAUGCAACGCGAAGAACCUUACCUACCCUUGACAUACAGAGAACUUUCUAGAGAUAGAUUGGUGCCUUCGGGAACUCUGAUACAGGUGCUGCAUGGCUGUCGUCAGCUCGUGUCGUGAGAUGUUGGGUUAAGUCCCGUAACGAGCGCAACCCUUAUCCUUAGUUGCUACCAUUUAGUUGGGCACUCUAAGGAGACUGCCGGUGAUAAACCGGAGGAAGGUGGGGACGACGUCAAGUCAUCAUGGCCCUUAUGGGUAGGGCUACACACGUGCUACAAUGGCCGGUACAGAGGGCUGCGAACUCGCGAGAGUAAGCCAAUCCCUUAAAGCCGGUCCUAGUCCGGAUUGCAGUCUGCAACUCGACUGCAUGAAGCUGGAAUCGCUAGUAAUCGCGGAUCAGAAUGCCGCGGUGAAUUCGUUCCCGGGCCUUGUACACACCGCCCGUCACACCAUGGGAGUGGGUUGCAAAAGAAGUGGGUAGACUAACCUUCGGGAGGUCGCUCACCACUUUGUGAUUCAUGACUGGGGUGAAGUCGUAACAAGGUA